rnacentral:sRNA from 1 species
CACCUGGUCCGGGGAGAUGAAGUGGAUGUGCGUAUCCACGCCGCCGGCGGUGAGGAUCUUCCGCUCCCCCGCGAUGAUUUCGGUGCUGGCGCCGAUCACGAUGUCCACGCCGUCGGUGAUCUGCGGGUUGCCGGCUUUGCCGAUCCUGAAGAUGUGGCCGUCCCUGAUAGCCACGUCGGCCUUGUAGAUGCCGGUGUAGUCGAGGAUCACGGCAUUGGUGAUGACGGUGUCCGGGACGUCUUCGCCGGAGCCGGCGCCAUCCCUGGUG